GAAUGCUGACAUAAGUAACGAUAAAGCGGGUGAAAAGCCCGCUCGCCGGAAGACCAAGGGUUCCUGUCCAACGUUAAUCGGGGCAGGGUGAGUCGACCCCUAAGGCGAGGCCGAAAGGCGUAGUCGAUGGGAAACAGGUUAAUAUUCCUGUACUUGGUGUUACUGCGAAGGGGGGACGGAGAAGGCUAUGUUGGCCGGGCGACGGUUGUCCCGGUUUAAGCGUGUAGGCUGGUUUUCCAGGCAAAUCCGGAAAAUCAAGGCUGAGGCGUGAUGACGAGGCACUACGGUGCUGAAGCGACAAAUGCCCUGCUUCCAGGAAAAGCCUCUAAGCAUCAGGUAACAUCAAAUCGUACCCCAAACCGACACAGGUGGUCAGGUAGAGAAUACCAAGGCGCUUGAGAGAACUCGGGUGAAGGAACUAGGCAAAAUGGUGCCGUAACUUCGGGAGAAGGCACGCUGAUAUGUAGGUGAAGCGACUUGCUCGUGGAGCUGAAAUCAGUCGAAGAUACCAGCUGGCUGCAACUGUUUAUUAAAAACACAGCACUGUGCAAACACGAAAGUGGACGUAUACGGUGUGACGCCUGCCCGGUGCCGGAAGGUUAAUUGAU
rnacentral:rRNA from 1 species